GACGAACGCUGGCGGCGUGCUUAACACAUGCAAGUCGAACGAAGUGGCGAACGGGUGAGUAACGCGUAAUCAACCUGCCCUUCAGAGGGGGACAACAGUUGGAAACGACUGCUAAUACCGCAUACUGAAGGAGGGGAUUGCGUCUGAUUAGCUAGUUGGAGGGGUAACGGCCCACCAAGGCGAUGAUCAGUAGCCGGUCUGAGAGACUGAACGGACACAUUGGGACUGGGACACGGCCCAGACUCCUACGGGAGGCAGCAGGGGGGAAUCUUCCGAAAUGGACGAAAGUCUGACGGAGCAACGCCGCGGGAGUGAUGACGGCCGUCGGGUUGUAAAGCUCUGUUAAUCGGGACGCGGUACCGGAAGAGAAAGCCACGGCUAACUACGUGCCAGCAGCCGCGGUAAUAC
rnacentral:rRNA from 1 species